AUCAGCCUUUCGGGUGCUAUUCUGUGGAGUGUGAGGAGCUUAACACCUUCAUGCUUCGCAUAUUUGUGCUCUUGGGUGUACUUGCCCGUGUGGUUGGUUUACAUCAAUUUUGGUGGUCAAAAAAUGACUGGAGGAAUGUAGCUUCGAUCUCGUAUUGAAGUGUUAUAGCCUUCGGUAGAUGUGAUGAUCGAGAUUGAGGAUUGCAACGGAUACCCUUCGGGGCUACCUGUCUGGUCUCUGAUCGUUGCUCUGGUGCCGAAAGCUUGCUUACGGUUAUCAAAGUCGAUGGUCAAUAGGUUAGAACGGGUUAAAUUCGUUAAGGAUGUUGACGUAAUGGCUUU
rnacentral:rRNA from 1 species